ACCACACGCUCGUACCCAGCGCCGUGAAGAAGCCAUAGGUUUGAGAUCGUGGGCUUAUUCACAAUCCACCUCAAGCUGAAUUGAAUAAACUCUAUGGAAUUCACAGCUGUCGUUUUGUUUUGUUUUGUGUUUGUCUCAAUGCCUUAGAAAAUCGUAAGUUGUGAGCGCACGCCACUACGUGCGUUUCUACAGCCUGAGUAUUUUUACAGUUACCGGGUCCAAAACUGGUCGCAAGUUUACUAUUUAGGGCACCACAAUAGUGGCACGUUAUAACAAAGGGAGUUUUAGAAUGUACCUGAUUUGGUGGCGCUGUAAGGGCGUUAAGAUUAUCCCUCUACAUUGCCGAGAGGGAGUUAUGUCACGGAAGGGAGUUUUGCACGGCGGCGCGUUUGGCCUUCUCCACGGACGCUGGUAGAUUUGGAAUCAAGAUGGCGCCCGCAUAUUAAUGAGGCAGCCGGCGGCUAGCGAGUUAAUGUAUGCAAGAAGCCGACGGCUGCCCGAGCGCACCCGAGCGCUGGGGGAACCCGAGAAAUAAUGAGAUGCAGCUCUCUGAUACGUCACGGGCUUCCAGAAAUAGCUCGGCGGAAACACCAGAGCGGUGAGCGGGGUAUUUCACACUACCAAAACAAAAGGUCGGUAUCUUUGUUAAAAAUGACUGAGACCGUUUGGCGGGGAAAAGGUGGCAAAAUGAAGAAAUUUGCAUCGAUAAAAGCUUUUAGACCAAAUUUGCCAAACAAUAUGGUAACGUCAUUGUUGGCCCUCGAACUGCGUAAGUCCAACAGUCCACACAAAGCAUGUACUGCACUCUUCAUCUUGAAAGCAUUUGUCUUCAGCUUGUUUCUUGACUUUUCCUCAGUCACAACCAGUGUCCACAAAAUGGAGUGUAUGAGGGGGCAUUCAUCAGGGAGGGCCGUUGCAAUCUGGCUGAAGAAGGUUACAGGAACAUCAUCUAUGGCUCUUUCUCUUAAGCCCACACCGACCAUCUUUUCAAACGCUUUCAUCUCUUCCGAGAGUUUCACUUGCUGUUGCUUGGACAGUUGAGUCCCACUUUUCUCGUGUUCUCUGAGACUGUCAAUAUGCUCCCUGUAUAACUGGACAAGGGUUGAAACAAGCUUGUUUCUUUUGGCCCACAAGCCCUCAAACUGUGAUGCCACAUGAUGUUCUGUACCAAACUUGGAUAGAUGUGCCCAGCUUUCCUCCAAGUCUUUAUCUACUUUGCGAAUCAAUGCUUGGAUGUUUUCUAUCUGAGCUGUGGUGCCUGUGGCUAACUGCAGACUGUCCAAUGUUGUGGGCUUCCACCUUAAUCCUGAUAGAGCCUUGCCCUUUGCAACAUACUUCAUAGUAAAGAGUGACUUUGCUAUUCUAGAUAUAGUAAUACCAGAUACCGUGGAAGUAUCUGCCGAUGCUUCCUCUUCCUCCUCUUUGUUGGAACAAUGCUUAGCCAUUUGUUCGCAGUGACUUUGAAGACCUGUUUGCACAUCUUCCAUCAAAACACUGUCCUCCUCUGCACCUUCCUCGAGCUUACUCAACAGGUAACCCCGUACAAGAGAACGCACCUUUUCCUGCUGACUCCAGGCACUCCCGGUGCUUGCCCGCUUUGAGGAGGGCUGAGGAAGGGCCUUAGACUUUGGGGUCAUGAGCCGCUUUUUGUCUUUUCUGGGUGUGUUAGUUGGAGUCGUUGUGGAUGGUGACUGUUCCGGUAGAAACCUGGCCAGUGGUUUGUCAUCAUCCGAAGAUGUCUCAAUGUCAUCUAGAAGACACCUGGCCAGGGGUCUGUCAUCAUCAGAUGACUCACCGUCCGCCA